rnacentral:rRNA from 1 species
GACGAACGCUGGCGGCGUGCUUAACACAUGCAAGUCGAACGGAAAGGCCCUGCUUUUGUGGGGUGCUCGAGUGGCGAACGGGUGAGUAACACGUGAGUAACCUGCCCUUGACUUUGGGAUAACUUCAGGAAACUGGGGCUAAUACCGGAUAGGAGCUCCUGCGGCAUGGUGGGGGUUGGAAAGUUUCGGCGGUUGGGGAUGGCCUCGCGGCUUAUCAGCUUGUUGGUGGGGUAGUGGCUUACCAAGGCUUUGACGGGUAGCCGGCCUGAGAGGGUGACCGGCCACAUUGGGACUGAGGUACGGCCCAGACUGCUACGGGAGGCAGCAGUGGGGAAUAUUGCACAAUGGGCGGAAGCCUGAUGCAGCAACGCCGCGUGCGGGAUGACGGCCUUCGGGUUGUAAACCGCUUUCGCCUGUGACGAAGCGUGAGUGACGGUAAUGGGUAAAGAAGCACCGGCUAACUACGUG